rnacentral:lncRNA from 1 species
UGGAGAAACAUUUUAUUUUACCGCUUCCCAAAAGUGUUACUGAUUUUUCUUUUUGGACUUUUUUUUCCUUGAAAGGAAAUGCUCUACAUCGAAAUCAAGUACAGAAUUAUGUUCAAAACAAACACACAGCUUUUGUCUCAUGUACCCAUUCAUCCUGGAAAAUUUGUCUAUGAAAAAACAUCUACAUUAGAAAGGGUUUUUAUCCUAUUUUCCUAAUUCCUACAGUUCCACACAUUUAUACUGUGAUGGGAUAUGAAAUGAAUUAAAUUCAGCACGUGUAACACCAGUGAAAGGCAAUGAACUUUACAUCAGGAAGGAACUGGAUUCAUGCUAUAUAUGCGGGGAAUCAAACAGCCUUCAAGUCUGAGUUUCAUGAGACACAAGAGCUACACUAUGAAUUUAUGGGAUGGAAAGGACAAGAAUGUGGCUUUCAGAAGCUAUUUUAGGAUGACCUGUGAAAAGGAUUGCCAUCAGUCCAUGGCAUGUGGUUCAUAUCAGAAUGUAGAGAAGGAUACAGCCUCUUUCACUAACCUUGGUCAAGGUACUAAUUCAUACAAUGACCAAAUGGAAGGAACUUGGAGUUGCACAGCAGGAAGUCCAAAGAUCUCCAUUUCAGCUGCAUCCUGUUAUACCUGUAUCCAGUGCCAGAGCUGA